rnacentral:ncRNA from 1 species
UGUCAUUUAUGCCCAGUGCUCUGCAUGUCAAAGUGAAUAAAUUCAACCAAGCAUGGGUAAAGGACAGAGUAACUAUGACCCUCUUAAGGUAGCCAAAUGCCUCACCAUCUAAUUAGUGGUGUGCAUGAAUGGAUUAACAAGAUUCCCACUAACCCUAUCUACUAUCUACAAAAAACACAAUCAAGGGAAUGGGAUUAGAAUAAUAAGCAAGAAAAGAAUACCCUAUUGAGCUUGACUCUAGUUCGACUUUGUGAAAUGACUUGAGAGGUGUAGAAUAAGUGGGAUCCAUUUUCAGCACAAGUGAAAUACCAUUAGUUUUAACAUUAUUUUAUUUAUUCCAUGGGGAAAAUAUGGGGCAUUGCCCCUGUUUUAUUCCAUAAGACACAUUUCGAUGGGUGGAUCUGGGUGGAAGACAUUGUCAGGAGGGGACUUUGGCUGGGGAGACACAUCUAUUAAAAGAUAACGCAUGUGUCCUAACAUGAGCUCAAUGAGAAUAGAAGUCUCAUGUGGAACAAAAGGGUAAAAUAUCAUUUGAUUUUCCACCAAACUAUUGAUCCUUAUAAUUCGUUGAUGGAUAUGAAUUAAUACGUCAAUUAGAUAUUUGCCUAUAUUAACAUAGUUCAUUUAAAAUACUAAUUGCUUGAGU